GCGCCCGUAGCUCAGUUGGAUAGAGCAACGGCCUUCUAAGCCGUUGGUCGCAGGUUCGAGCCCUGCCGGGCGUGCCA
rnacentral:tRNA from 1 species